rnacentral:rRNA from 1 species
UACAGAGGGUGCAAGCGUUAAUCGGAGUUACUGGGCGUAAAGGGCGCGUAGGCGGUGCGGUACGGUUUCGGUGAAAUCCCUCGGCCCAACCGAGGAACAGCCGGAGCUACGGCCGGACUAGACGGCAUCAGGGGACAGUGGAACUCCCGGUGGAGCGGUGAAAUGCGUAGAUAUCGGGAGGAACGCCGGUGGCGAAAGCGACUGUCUGGGGUGCCUGUGACGCUGAGGCGCGAAAGCCAGGGGAUCAAACGGG